rnacentral:rRNA from 1 species
CCCUAGAGGAGCCUGUUCCAUAAUCGAUAAACCCCGAUCCACCUCACCCUCUCUUGCUUAGCCUAUAUACCGCCAUCUUCAGCAAACCCUGAUAAAGGUUACAAAGUGAGCACAAACGCCCUGCCGCCGCAAAAACGUUAGGUCAAGGUGUAGCCCAUGAGAGGGUAAAAAUGGGCUACAUUUUCUAUAUCAGAAAACUCCACGAAAACUCCUAUGAAACCUGGGAGUCCAAGGAGGAUUUAGCAGUAAAUUAAGAAUAGAGUGCUUAAUUGAACUAGGCCAUAAAGCGCGUACACACCGCCCGUCACUCCCCUCAAAUAUAUUUAAGGAACACUUUAACUAAACGCCCUAAUAUUUAUAUAGAGGGGAUAAGUCGUAACAUGGUAAGUGUAUUGGAAGAUGCACUUGGAC